rnacentral:lncRNA from 1 species
CGCGCGAGGGCAUCUUCCAGCCGCUGCUCGCUUCUUCUUGCGGCCCCCUUAUUUAUAGACGAAGGAUGCAUCUGGAAAGAAGGUAACAACUGACAAUCCAAAAUGAACGAACAAAGCGGCGAGACAAUGGGUCGACACAAGCUCGCACACCCAUGCAUCAGCGGCAGCCCACCGAAAAGAUAAACGCGUGAUGCAAAUGCAUAUAAAACACGGGACCAUCACCGCAUAUGCAAAGUCCAUCCAAAGGAACAUAGUCAAAUCAAAUACGAUGACAUGCAACCCAAUCAAAUAUGAUGUAUGCAAAGUCCAUCCAAAGGAACGUAGUCAAAUCAAAUAGGAUGCGAUGCAAAGUCCACAUCAGAAGCUAAAUUGCUACGUCCACCCAAAGCAUACAUAGAAAUAGAAAGACCAGUUAACAAAAUUUACACGAAAAGUCUACAGUCACACGUGAUUUCUACACCCCAGCCUCCCAAACUAAUGCACGUGUCCAUAUUACAUAGCCCCCCCCCACCCACAGUCCCUUUCACCCAAGUGGCGAGACGUGGAAGCAAAAACGCUCCCAUAAAUAGAGGCUUGGGUAUGAGCAAUUAUGGAGCUCACACUCGCUCACUAGUACCCCACUGGUUCAAUUGCACGGCCACGAGCUUCCCACCAAUCUCCCCUGCUGCUCCAUUGCAGCACCUCCGAGCCCCAUCACCGCCUUCGCCGCGGCCCUUGGGCACCGUCACGAUAAGGUGUCAGUCGACAUAGCCAGCCAUAGCCAGCUCCGGGCAACAGUCUUCAGGCAGCUGGUACCUCCACCUAUCAAGCUCCAUGUCAUCGCCAUCCUCGUCGUCUCCUGUCCCAGCAUGCACCACCACCACCUUGACGACCCCGGGGUAAAUCCUCACGAGGCACGCCCUCACCUCACCCAUGGGGACGCAGGCCGCGAAGAAGUGGAGCGCGGUGGUGCCCUCGAACGCCCUGACGUUAGCGCCCACCGGAGUGGCAGCUCGAGCACCUUUUUGUACACGUGCGGCAGUCGGCGGAGGGCCCUCUUGGCGCCGCCGCCGGACGCAGUCAUCGUCGACUGUUUCAUCCCCAUGUAGUACAAUCGCGGACGGUCCAGGAGAGAGAGCUCCGACGAGCUCCAAAUCCUUCGAUCUCACCUCUAUCCCUCUCUUCCGGUUCCUCUGUGGACGAAUAUGCCUUCCUUGCCACCGGGCGACGCGAUUUAUAGGUGUGCUGGUGGGUCGGAGAUGCUAAAGGCCAAAGGAUCGAGGUGUCGCAGCGUUCUUGAGUGACGUGGGGGAAAGAUAAGCCCGGGGAUCGGUGAUGAAGGUGGCGGGAGGAGUCGAAGAGAGAUAGAUGGAGAUCGGGGACGGCGAUAGGAUGAAGACGAGCAGUGUCGGUGCGCGUGUCCGUGCCCCUGCGACGGCAGUGAGUUUGUUCUGCCUGGUGUGCUGCUACGUGGCAUGGCCACUGCGGUGUGGGCUCCGUUGGCGUCUCGAAGAUAAGGCCGGUAUUUGUGCUUCUCCGUCGAUCCCAAACAUGGGGCCGCUCCAACGGUUUUCAGGGGUUGUGGCAUUCUUUGAUUCUAGUGAUUUUAUUAGGUGCCAUUGUCAAAGGAUUGACAUUAUAUUGUGGAUUCUUUUCUAUGGGGCUCUUUGCAACACAGAAAUCAGGCACUAUGAAUCCCAAAAUCCACAGGGUCGAGGGCCACGGACAUCGCGUUGUCUGAGUCUACUCGGCGACGGCCAUCGGGAAUCAUGGAGGGGUGUCUCCCCGAGUCCAUCGGGAUUGGCUGGGGACACGGGGCUGGGGUCCCCACGUACUGUGGUGGCGCCGGCCCAGGCUCCGUCGCUCAUGUCGGGCUAGGAGUGAAAGAUGUGGACUUUCGCUCUUCCUAUCGUGGCUGGUACUUUGUGGUGCGGGCGGUGGGUGAGGUCUUGACUUGGAUGUCGGAGCGGCGGCUUCGGAUGGUGGUUCGCAUGGUUGGCUCUCCGGCGGGUGCCAUUUCGGCGGUGGUGGCUCACUUCUUGGUCAUGCGGGUGACGAGAGAGGUAGUAGUUGGUGGCUCGGGCACGUCCUCUGCUGGACGCCGCCCCGAUCUGGAUCCGGGGUCUGGGCACGCCGUGUUUUCCCUAGGGCCUCGGUAACUUAGGGUGGGAUGCCGAGUGAAAGCUCCGCGCUUUUGCACCGGCGACGGCUACGCUUGCGGGCGCCGCUCUCUUCUUGAAGACGUCGGCGACGCUCUGCACCGUUCUCUCUCUUGGGGGCAUUGUCUAGGAGUUUAGGUGUCCUAGGGUGUUGCGUGAUUAUGCUCCAUUCUCCAUGUCUUCUCUUUCGGUAGAGUAGUUGCUUCUCUACUUCGCAAUCCGGGUAGCCUAGGAUCGGCUUUGUAAGAGGAUCAUCUCAUCAUCAUGUAUGGUUCGGUCGUGUACCUUGUUUGGUUUGUGCCUUUAUUUAUAAAGGGGGGCGAAACCCUGCUUCGAGGUGAAUCCCAAAAUCCAGAGGUGUGUCAUGGAGGAAUUUUAACAUGAUCUUACGUACAUGGAUAAUUCUCUCUAGCAUUGAUUCAUCUUUCUUCAGAUGGGUACAAAAUUCAUAUGCGGCAUCCAGAUAGCCAUUUUCGCGAAGUCAUGUCUUUUAUUUAAUUCAUGUAAAUUCAACAAAAAAAUUGUGAUGCAACUCUAGGUAUUCCUAUGCAUGAGGAGCAAAAUGUCAUGCCGCUCGCGGGGGCCUAACGUAUCGAGGUGUUAAUGCAAAAUUCAUAAAUAAAAUUCACUUAAAUCAACACGAUUAAAUAGGUUAAAUGCAAGAUAGUUGUUGUUCUUACACAAUUAUUGUCCAUGUUUCUUAUUCGCACCGCAUGAGAUCCAUUGACGCCAUAGCUUCUUGAUUCACAACUCUACCUCCUUCCUGAUGCUGCCUCUACCCAUCUUCCAUGCGCCACAUCCUCCUCCCACCGCUCCUGCUUUGGUAGCCCAUAAUCGUCACCCCCCCUCUCUGGCUCUGAAACCCUGAUAAGGCUCACAUGUAUGCCGAUGGGAGGGGGUGAGGGAAGGGAGAGGUGUUAUCGCCCAUGUCGAUAUGGACAUAUAUAGGAUCGACGAUAAUGCCUUGUUGUCACCGAUCGCCGGUCGAGCCCUCCCUUAUCCCUUUCCCUCUUACUCGGCUAAUUGCCCCCUCCCCUUCCCUGGCUCUGAAACCAUGAUAAGGCUCACAUGUAUGCCCAUGGGAGGGGGUGG